rnacentral:rRNA from 1 species
GGUUGACCUCAGAUCAGGUAGGAAUACCCGCUGAACUUAAGCAUAUCAAUAAGCGGAGGAAAAGAAACCAACAGGGAUUGCCCUAGUAACGGCGAGUGAAGCGGCAACAGCUCAAAUUUGAAAUCUGGCCUCACGGUCCGAAUUGUAAUUUGUAGAGGAUGUUUCUGGCGACGUGUCUUCCGAGUUCCCUGGAACGGGACGCCAUAGAGGGUGAGAGCCCCGUCCGGUCGUACACCUAGCCUCUGUGAAACUCCUUCGACGAGUCGAGUAGUUUGGGAAUGCUGCUCUAAAUGGGAGGUAUACGUCUUCUAAAGCUAAAUACCGGCCAGAGACCGAUAGCGCACAAGUAGAGUGAUCGAAAGAUGAAAAGCACUUUGAAAAGAGGGUUAAAUAGUACGUGAAAUUGCUGAAAGGGAAGCGCUUAUGACCAGACUUGGGCUCGGUGAAUCAUCCGGCGUUCUCGCCGGUGCACUUUGCCGUCCCAGGCCAGCAUCAGUUCGCGCCGGGGGAUAAAGGUUUCGGGAAUGUAGCUCCCUCGGGAGUGUUAUAGCCCGUUGCGUAAUACCCUGGCGUGGACUGAGGUCCGCGCUCUGCAAGGAUGCUGGCGUAAUGGUCAUCAGUGACCCGUCUUGAAACACGGACCAAGGAGUCGUCUUCGUAUGCGAGUGUUCGGGUGUCAAACCCCUACGCGUAAUGAAAGUGAACGUAGGAGAGAGCUUCGGCGCAUCUCCGACCGAUCCUGAUGUUCUCGGAUGGAUUUGAGUAAGAGCAUACGGGGCCGGACCCGAAAGAAGGUGAACUAUGCCUGUAUAGGGUGAAGCCAGAGGAAACUCUGGUGGAGGCUCG